rnacentral:rRNA from 1 species
AUUGAACGCUGGCGGCAUGCCUUACACAUGCAAGUCGAACGGCAGCACGGGAGCAAUCCUGGUGGCGAGUGGCGAACGGGUGAGUAAUAUAUCGGAACGUGCCCAGUCGUGGGGGAUAACGCAGCGAAAGCUGUGCUAAUACCGCAUACGAUCUACGGAUGAAAGAGGGGGACCGCAAGACCUCGCGCGAUUGGAGCGGCCGAUAUCAGAUUAGCUAGUGGGUGAGGUAAAGGCCCACCAAGGCGACGAUCUGUAGCUGGUCUGAGAGGACGACCAGCCACACUGAACCUGAGACACGGUCCAGACUCCGACGGGAGGCAGCAGUGGGGAAUUUUGGACAAUGGGCGAAAGCCUGAUCCAGCAAGGCCGCGUGCAGGAUGAAGGCCUUCGGGUUGUAAACUGCUUUUGUACGGAACGAAACGGUGAGCUCUAAUACAGUUUGCUAAUGACGGUACCGUAAGAAUAAGCACCGGCUAACUACGUGCCAGCCGCCGCCGUAA